GAUGAACGCUAGCUACAGGCCUAACACAUGCAAGUCGAGGGGUAACGAGAGGAAAGCUUGCUUUCCUUGUCGACGACCGGCGCACGGGUGAGUAACGCGUAUCCAACCUGCCCCCAAUUAGGGAAUAACCUUGCGAAAGUAAGACUAAUACCCUAUAAUUUCCUCAGAUGUCAUCUGACGAGGAAUAAAGAUUUAUCGGUUGUGGAUGGGGAUGCGUCUGAUUAGCUUGUUGGCGGGGUAACGGCCCACCAAGGCAACGAUCAGUAGGGGUUCUGAGAGGAAGGUCCCCCACAUUGGAACUGAGACACGGUCCAAACUCCUACGGGAGGCAGCAGUGAGGAAUAUUGGUCAAUGGGCGGAAGCCUGAACCAGCCAAGUAGCGUGCAGGAUGACGGCCCUAUGGGUUGUAAACUGCUUUUAUACAGGAAUAAAGUUAGCCACGUGUGGUUAUUUGUAGGUACUGUAUGAAUAAGGACCGGCUAAUUCCGUGCCAGCCGCCGCCGUAA
rnacentral:rRNA from 1 species